rnacentral:rRNA from 1 species
GACGAACGCUGGCGGCGUGCCUAAUACAUGCAAGUCGAACGCAGUGGGGACGGGUGAGUAACACGUGGGUAACCUCCCGUCAGAGGGGAUAACACUUGGCCACAGGUGCUAAACCGAUACGGAUGGAUGGACCCGCGGUGCAUUAGCUAGUUGGUGAGGUAACGGCGCACCAAGGCCACGAUGCAUAGCCUGCCUGUGAGGGUGGGCGCCGACACUGUGACUGAGACACGGCCGGGACUCUUUCGGGAGGCAGCAGAAGGGAAUGUUCGGCAAUGGACGAAAGUCUGACCGAGCUACGGCGCUUGGAGGAUGUUACUUUUCGGAGCGUAAACUCCUUUUGUUAGGGAAGCGGUACCUAACGAAUAAGCACCGGCUAACUACGUGCCAGCAGCCGCGGUAAUUC